CAGAGGUAAAAGUUGCUGCCACAGCCCACAGCAAUUGGGAGGGUAUAUUUUAGUCUUUGCAUAAAUGGGUGGAGAGCAAGAGAGUUGGAUGAUCGAAUGAUGUGGGUUAUGUGAAGAUUGAAGAAAGUGAAACCAACUCUUUUUUCUUCUUUCUUUCUGGUGGACGCGUGGCAAAGACAUUCCUUUGCUGGGACUUCACCGUCAGCGACUUUGUAAGGUUUUGGUUAUAAUUUCGAGAGAUGGUGUCACUGCAAAAGUAUACCGCCCCAUAUCAUCCAUACUUGCCAAAUGCAUCGUCUCAGAAAGGUGGCUGUGAUGCAUCAGCUUGGAUGGUUUAGGAAUGGCCAUAACCAGAGGCGCAGAGCCAAGAUUUUGAGUUUAUGGGUUUUGGAUUCUAAAAAAGGCAUCUUACUGGGUUCUGAAUAAAGUAUUUCUACAUAUUAAGAAAUUUUUGAAGGUGAAGAUAAAGUUUUCAAAGAUGUUAUUGAAACACUAGAAAGUAUAAGUGUAAAUGUGAUACCAAGCAGUAAAGUGGACAUACAAGAUUUUGGUUCGCCGCAACAUGUUUGUUGAAAUGCUAGAUUAUUUAUCCCAGAUAUUUAUAUAACUGUUUGGCUGUUUUGGAUUACUUGCUCCACGAAGUUGCUGAAAUUUUAACAAAAAUGUUUUUAGUGUCGCCUUCUCAGAAAACAAACUGAUUCACGCAUCAGAGAUGUAACAAGGAAAUCCAGAUGAUCAUUGUCUGUGAUUCUGUAGCGCAGCGUUGAUGGCAAAACCUAUUACACAUUCGAGUGUACUGCACAAUCCCAAAUUAUGCUCGGCAUGCAAUCACUGCAGUCUGCAUUGGCAAUGAUGGUUUUAUCUACAUUGACAAUGAGGUUUAUUAGUUAACUUCUAGCUCGAAGUUCUUGAAUCUUGCAAUUGAUGGGACGUUAGCAACCAUUGGUUAUCAGCACAAUGGUAGAUUCAGGCCUUUUGCUUUAUCAGGGAUAAUAGAGAAAGAAAUGAAGUACAUGAAGAGGUUCAUACCCCGGAAAACCAAAGUGGUGAUGCAGUGAAUAAUUUCUAUCAUUUAUGCAGUACAACUACUUUUACCUACAGUUAGAUUUAUUCCUGCUUAAUUUCCCUCUUCGAAGCCCUGAUGGUUUUGAAUCUGGAGUUUUGAAUCUUUCAUGCGCUGAAAUACCUGAUGGAAAGUUCUAUACAUUGACAACUGGAGCGAACGAGAGGAGGUGGGAGAAGGUGAAGGAUAGAUUACAUACUGUGGUUGACUCCUUCCAAAUUUUCAAUGUCUAAUAGAGUAAUAUACUUUAGUAACACAUUGCUUCUUGGUGUUAAAUUCCCAGUUUUCCUCUUUAACUAUCUAAAAUUAGAGGAUGUAUAAUGGAUGUGGAUAUGAGUGUUUUGCUUAUUUUUAGCCAUUCAAAUUGGCAUUACAGAUUCUAUAGUGUAUUAGUAGAAAAUAAAUAUGACACGUGGAAUUAUGUGUGGAUGACAAGGCAUGUUACGUGGAUCACUAAGAAGAUGACAACUGGAAUAUUGCAUUAAAAGAUGAACGAGUUACAAGAGGUACGAGCAAAUCACUCACGAGAUGAAGGGAUGCAGUUGCUCGAGUCUAAAUCAUUCAGUAGACACGGGCUGAAUGAAUCAAGACAGUAAGAAGGGGAAGAUUCACGAACCUCUAAUUAAUGAGGAAGAAGAAUUGGAACCGUUACAGAAUCUCCAUAAACAGUUACGAUUGCCAAUCAUAACGGUUCAUUAAUGUCACUAAUGCUCAUAAUGAUUCGGCUAUAAAGAGAGGAAACGUUAUAUUUGUAAAUUCCUAUAUAAGGGGAAGAGAAUUUCACUUGUAAAGACACUUGAGACAAUAUUGGAAUAUAUUCACUUUACUUU